UACGUAGGCAGCAAGCGUUGUUCGGAGUUACUGGGCGUAAAGGGUGUGUAGGCGGUUUUCUAAGUUUGGUGUGAAAUCUCCCGGCUCAACUGGGAGGGUGCGCCGAAAACUGGAAAGCUAGAGUACUGGAUGGGAGAGUGGAAUUCCUGGUGUAGCGGUGAAAUGCGUAGAUAUCAGGAGGAACACCGAUGGCGAAGGCAGCUCGCUGGGACGGUACUGACGCUGAGGCGCGAAAGCGUGGGGAGCAAACAGG
rnacentral:rRNA from 1 species